UGUGUGAUGAUGUGUCAUUCA
rnacentral:siRNA from 1 species